GUAAAAUACUGCCUCCUGUAUGAUCACCAAAGUUAAGCAACUUUGAGCCAGGUCAGUACUUAGAGGGGUGUCCACUUGGGAAUACCAGAUGCUGUAAG